rnacentral:misc_RNA from 1 species
AGGUGAGCAAGGCUUCUUUGAAAAAAGCAAUAGGCAGAAAACUAGCUGCUCGUAUUCUUCGCAAAUGGACAGAAGACUUCGUGGAUGAGGAUACAGCGGAAGUAGUCACUAUUGAGCGUAAUGAGAUCAUUCUCGAACGCGAUGUCAU